rnacentral:rRNA from 1 species
GACGAACGCUGGCGGCGUGCCUAAUACAUGCAAGUAGAACGCACAGUUUAUACCGUAGCUUGCUACACCAUAGACUGUGAGUUGCGAACGGGUGAGUAACGCGUAGGUAACCUGCCUGGUAGCGGGGGAUAACUAUUGGAAACGAUAGCUAAUACCGCAUAAUAUUAAUUAUUGCAUGAUAAUUAAUUGAAAGGUGCAAUUGCACCACUACCAGAUGGACCUGCGUUGUAUUAGCUAGUGGGUGAGGUAACGGCUCACCUAGGCGACGAUACAUAGCCGACCUGAGAGGGUGAUCGGCCACACUGGGACUGAGACACGGCCCAGACUCCUACGGGAGGCAGCAGUAGGGAAUCUUCGGCAAUGGACGAAAGUCUGACCGAGCAACGCCGCGUGAGUGAAGAAGGUUUUCGGAUCGUAAAGCUCUGUUGUAAGAGAAGAACGGGUGUGAGAGUGGAAAGUUCACACUGUGACGGUAUCCUACCAGAAAGGGACGGCUAACUACGUG